UGGGGAAUAUUGGGACAAUGGGCGCAAGGCCUGAUCCAGCCAAUGCCGCGUGUGUGAAGAAGGCCCUUCGGGUUGUAAAGCACGUUUUAUCAGGAGUCGAAACGCUGUCGGACUAAUACCCGGCGAACCGGUGACGGUACCUGAGGAAUAAGCACCGGCUAACUUCGUGCCAGCAGCCGCGGUAAUACGAAGGGUGCAAGCGUUAAUCGGAAUUACUGGGCGUAAAGCGUGCGUAGGCGGUUUUCUUAAGUCUGCUGUGAAAUCCCCGGGCUCAACCUGGGAAUGGCAGUGGAUACUGGGAGGCUAGAGUGUGUCAGAGGGUGGUGGAAUUCCCGGUGUAGCGGUGAAAUGCGUAGAGAUCGGGAGGAACAUCAGUGGCGAAGGCGGCCACCUGGGACAACACUGACGCUGAGGCACGAAAGCGUGGGGAGCAAACAGGAUUAGAUACCCUGGUAGUCCACGCCCUAAACGAUGCGAACUGGAUGUUGGUCUCAACUCGGAGAUCAGUGUCGAAGCUAACGCGUUAAGUUCGCCGCCUGGGG
rnacentral:rRNA from 1 species